AAUGAUGAGCAAUGUUUUAUGGGUUUGGGUUUAAUAAAGCAAAGAUUGGUAUUUUUGUAACAUCAAAAGUUCAUUUUUGAGGCAAACAGAAAAUCCUGCUUAUUAUAGUUUACUGGGACUAACAACCCCCCGGACAAAUUUGGAAAAAAAUUCAGCUAAAAUGGGUGGUGCUUUAAGGAACAAUGAGACACAGCCUAGUGUGGGGAUAGAUGGUGAGGGGAUAAGCAAGGCUGUAGUAAGCGCCGUUACCAACUUGGUACUUUGUGGUUAUAGUUUUCUCCAAAUUGCGCUUGAAGAAAGUAUGAACAUGGGCAAAACUGAGAAACUCUAUCAAUCAACCAAGUGGACAUUAAAGUAUGUCACCGGAGAUUUGUUCUCCUGUCCACGCGAUGAAUCCUUGGCCCACUGCAUCAGUGAAGACUGUCGCAUGGGAGCAGGCAUAGCGGCGAUGUUCAAGAAGAAGUUUGGUCGAGUCUCAGAGUUAAAGGAGCAGAGUGAGUCAGACUAGUUACUAAAGUCUUUGUUUUGGAAAAAAAUGUUUUAUGUUUUUCCAGUUCAUUCAAAUGUAUGAUUUCAACAGCAAGUGCUAAAUCAUAUCCUGUUUUGUAUUUUUUUGUAUGUCCUAAUAGAGAAGCUUCCGGGGCAGUGUGCUGUCCUGACACAUGAUCAACGUUUCAUCUACUAUCUGAUCACAAAGAAAAAAGCCAGCCAGAAACCCACGUAUGUCAGCCUAAGACAGAGUCUGGAAGACAUGAAAUCUCACUGCUUAGAAAAUGGUGUCAAUAAGAUAUCAAUACCCCAGUUUGUAGGAACUACUGUGAAUAAAUGACUAUAAUAAAUACCCUUAAAUCUUCUUCUUUAUUGGGGAUAAUUAAUCAAUUUGCUUGUCUCGUAUCUCCUCCCUCAGAAUUGGCUGUGGCCUGGACCAGCUGCAGUGGUCAAAGGUGUCAAAGAUCCUGGAACAGAUCUUUAAAGAGACAAAUAUCUCCAUCACAGUGUACAGCCUGCCCUGUGUUGGGUCAAAGCUUCAAAUGCAUGCCAUGUAGUACAUUUUCAUUUGAGUUUUGUUUUUAACUUUAAGUCCUUUAUAAUCUCUUAAAAUUUUGGAUGAAAUCAACACUCUUUAAACGGUUUUAAGGAAACAAUAAAUAAGGAAACAAUAAAAACCUCCCCAUAAGAUGUUUACAUACAAGACUUUUAACAUCCCACUGAUGUAAAAAAAUGAUGUUUCCUGCCAUUAAAGAUACGAAACUUA